rnacentral:lncRNA from 1 species
GAGCUGAUCACCAUAAGUAUGCUGUCAAUAACAGGAACUAAGCACAAGCUUAAGUGCUAGCUAGUGACAGAAUAAAACAAAACAAAAACAGUAACAACAAAAACCUCCCUCCCUUUCUAAAUGAUGCAGGGUGUGUUCCAGAAGACUCCUAGGGUUCCUUUGUUGCUGCCCUCCCCAACAGCCGCAUUUGACCAACUGGCAUAAUUGGAGAAGUUACCCGUUAGAUGAAUACUGUUCCAGGCAGUGCCCACUUAGCCUCAUCUGGAUGCUUGAAUUUUUGAGAACAGGAC